rnacentral:rRNA from 1 species
CGAUGACGAACGCAGCGAAAUGUGAUACGUAGGGUGAAUUGCAGAAUUCCGCGAAUCAUCGAGUCUUUGAACGCAACUUGCGCCCGGGGCUCGACCCAGGGCAUUUCUGCCAGAGCGUCACC